rnacentral:lncRNA from 1 species
GUAAUGAUUUUUUAAGAGCUUUACAAAAUCAAGUUUGUUUUUGGAUGACUUGAAUUUUAUGAAAUAAAGUAGGAUUGACGUUUUUGAUAAUUUCAAGAGUUUUGUAAUAGAUCUAACAGUGAAAUUUUGUGAGUUAAUAGUUAUAAUUGUGCUUAAUAUGUAUUGUGAAUUUGAGCUUGAUCAAAGGGCUGGAUUGAAGAUUAUUAAGGUUUUUGUGGAUUAUGAUAUUGGAAUUUAGGAUUUUGAAGACAAAUGAGGAUUUCUAAGAUAUCUUGUAAUCUAUCAAUUGAUUUGGAGUGAAUAUUAUGUGUUUGGAU